UUAGAGAUCGGUGAAAAGAUGAAGUUGGCAUCGAAUCCGUGGUCUUUCGACGUUACUUCGAGCAGUGGUAACAAUUUUGAAAGAGGAGUUAAUGCGAGAAGUUCCGGCAGGGAACGCAAUUAUCCGCCACUGCUCGAGUGCCGUAACUCGACAGACUUUCAACGUGUUCAACGGAAAUUGUAUUUUCUUCUUCUUCUUUCUCGUUCAACCGUGCCACUUUGUCUAUUGGGAGGGAGGGGGGAGAAGAGGGUCUCUCUUGCCUCGAGAGAUCGAAUCGAUAACCGAUAAUUCUUAGUGAAACUUUGCAGGGAACAUCGUAUGUACGAUUUGUUUCAUCUUACGUUUUAACAAAUUUUGCGUGGAAUUAAAACUAAACAGAAAUCUUUAUUUUGUGGCGUAAAAGAACGUAGAAAGAGAAAGGAGAAAAAUUAAACAAAGGUAAAUAUCAUGGAAAGGCAACAAGGAUCUCUUUCGUUCUUCAACGAGUGUCCGAUUGAAGAGUGCUACGUUAAAGAAAGUUUUAAAAGCACGCCUUUAAUUUCAUUCAAUGCUAUCGCUCGCCAUGGAAUGAACAUUGAAAACACAGCCACUGUGAAACUAAUGAAAUUGAUUUGCACCGUUCCUCCCCGAGAAUCGACUUGGUAAAGAGUUCGAGCUCUCGAAGACACUGUUUCUUUUAAUCUUAUUUAUUGUACUUGAAACAGAGCUGCCACUUACUAAUUUUUACCACGAAUCAAAAAAAAAAAAAAAAAAAGAAAGGAAAAAUUGAGAAAGAUAUAUUUUAUAUUUUUUAAUAAUAUUGCGUAUAUCAACAUUGCGAAAUAUUUAACAAUAAAAAAAUUCGAUUCUGAAAGCAUCGAACAGUUAUUCAUUACGUAAUGAGAUUACUGCGAAGAAAUAUUGUAUCACGAGCUACGUAGUUUCUCCUCGCUUAUAUCGAAGAUCUUCGCGGAAACGGAAGUUCGACAAGGCACUGCUCUACUCUCUGCUUCUUCGAGACUACGCAUUUUAAUGAAGAUUAUUAAAAUGAGAUGGAGCUUAAGAAGUUCCGAAACAAUAUCUUAACGCGACUCGAGUUACGUGGCGAAGAUCAGUGAAAGAGAAUCUUUUUCAAAACGAGGAACGAAUUUUAUCGAGUAAACAAAAUGAAGAUUUAAAACGAUAACGAAUGAAAAAUUCAUCUUUUCGUUUCGAAAUUUAAGUAAAAGUUAAAGUAAUCCAAUUUUUCCAACGACAAGAAAAGAAUUGGAAGAUUUAACCUAACCUAAUUUAAAUUGGAAUAUUUAUUCUCAAAUUCGAUUUUUCAGUGUUUUUGGCUUUGAAAAAAUUCUGAAAUUGUUUACAUCAAGAUAUUUGAUGUAGAAUGAAACAAAUUAUCGUUGAGUUAAAGUUGGACAAAACUUUUUUCCAACAAUCUAACCUAAUUCAACUCGGGACAUUUAUUCAUACAAAACUCUUUCUUAUCGUUUUUUUUCUUGGCUUUGAAAAAACUUUGAAAAUACCGAUCAAAGCCUUUAAUUUGGAAUACAAAUCAUUAAACGAGAGUUUAAAACUUUUUCGAUAUAAAAUAAAAUCUCGUUUCCAAGUUAUUUGACGAUAAAAAUUUCCUUUUGAUCUUCACUUAUCUGUGACAAGAGUUAACGAUAAAAUAAGCAGAACGAAAAAAAAAGG
rnacentral:lncRNA from 1 species